GAUGAACGCUGGCGGCGUGCCUCAAACAUGCAAGUCGAGCGGGGCUAUGUAAUAUCGCAAGGUAGAACAUAGCCUAGCGGCGAACGGGUGAGUAACACGUGGGUAACCUGCCUGGAAGACAGGGAUAACGAUUCGAAAGGGUCGCUAAUACCUGAUAAUAUCCUUUCAUCGCAUGGUGAUAGGAAGAAAGGGGAAACCCGCUUUUCAGAUGGGCCCGCGUCCCAUCAGCUAGUUGGUAAGGUAAAGGCUUACCAAGGCGACGACGGGUAGCCGGUCUGAGAGGAUGUACGGCCACACUGGGACUGAGAUACGGCCCAGACUCCUACGGGAGGCAGCAGUUGGGAAUCUUAGGCAAUGGACGAAAGUCUGACCUAGCGACGCCGCGUGAGGGAAGAAGGCCUUCGGGUUGUAAACCUCUGUCACUGGGGAAGAAGUAAGUGACGGUACCCCAAGAGGAAGCCCUGCUAACUACGUGCCAGCAGCCGCGGUAAUGAGUAGUACGA
rnacentral:rRNA from 1 species